CUGUGAUAGGAGCUACUGGGAGAAGUGCAGCUAGACCGGUUCUUAAGAGUCGCACUUGUAUUCUGGGAGGCCAUGUGGUGAAGUAUUAGUUCCUAUAUAUGCCAGAGUGUCCGAUUCAACUUUUAGGACGAGAUCUAUUAUCGAAGCUUUAAGCUCAGAUAACCUUUUACCUAAUGGAUUAACAUCUCUGAAGUUUAAGGGAUUACCAGGCAUAAUGGCGAUAUUGGUGCCAAGGGAAGAAGAAUGACGCUUCUAUUCCAUAGUGACAAGUGUUAACCCUAAGAGUGAUGAAUCCUUAUUUGACAUUCCAGGAGUAUGGGAAGAAAAU